rnacentral:rRNA from 1 species
UGGGGGAUAUUGCACAAUGGGGGAAACCCUGAUGCAGCGACGCCGCGUGAGGGAAGACGGCCUUCGGGUUGUAAACCUCUGUCUUCGGGGACGAAUAAAUGACGGUACCCGAGGAGGAAGCCACGGCUAACUACGUGCCAGCAGCCGCGGUAAUACGUAGGUGGCAAGCGUUGUCCGGAAUUACUGGGUGUAAAGGGAGCGUAGGCGGGGAGGCAAGUUGAAUGUCUAAACUAUCGGCUCAACUGAUAGUCGCGUUCAAAACUGCCACUCUUGAGUGCAGUAGAGGUAGGCGGAAUUCCUAGUGUAGCGGUGAAAUGCGUAGAUAUUAGGAGGAACACCAGUGGCGAAGGCGGCCUACUGGGCUGUAACUGACGCUGAGGCUCGAAAGCGUGGGUAGCAAACAGGAUUAGAUACCC